rnacentral:lncRNA from 13 species
GAAGUGCUGGGAUUACAGGUGUGAGCUGCUGCGCCCGGCCCCUUUAUUUUCAGUUGAGACUAAAUUCACCUGACAGAAAAGUCCCCAUUUUAGCAUGGACUACGCUGUGGCUCUUACUGAGUUCAGCCAUCACCCCGUUUACCUCUAACUCCGGGUCGUUAUCCUGCUAGAGGACGACACCCCGUCCCCAUCAGCCAUCAGUGCGUGUCCCUCCCCAGCCCCAGCACCCACGCAUUCCCUUCCUGUCUCUGCAGCUUGGCCUGUCCUGGACAUUUCCUAGACAUGGGAUCACAGGCCACACGGCCUUCUGUGUCUGGCGUCUCUCACUUCACGGGACGUCCUCAAGGUGCAUCUGUGCUGUGGCUGGGUCAGAGUCUGGCUCCUGAUCCUGGCUGUGCCGUGUGCCCGCGUGGAGGGCCCCACUGUAUGUGUCUGUGCAUCUGUUUUGAGCAGUCGUGCCUCCACCCAUGGCCAUGCUGUACUCUGCUGCCGUGAGCCCGAGUGCCGGCUGCCGUGAGGACACAGGCGUCGUUUCUCCUGGGCUCAUGCCUGGGCCUAGGUCAUGGUUUGGCAGUAGCUGGGAAUCACUGUGAGCGGCGUCCACAUGCAGGUCCGUGUGAGUGUGUCCCAGGCAUGACUGGGUCUGGCUGGGUCCUACCACAGGAGGGGGGCACUUAUGCGGCAGACCAGCCUCUGCACCUGCAACCUCCCUGCCCCAGGUCCAGCCCCUCUCCAGAGCCUGUUUCUGUGUGGGGAGAGUGUCCCCAGGGCAGCCCUCAGAGCGUCUCCUGGGCUGUCCCCAAGUGCACCCCACCGUGAGCGUCUCCUGACCUGUGCCCUGCACGGGAUAUCCCCCAGGCCCUGCUGGUCUGCCUCGCUGCCCCUCGCCCAUCCUUUGCCGCCUGUUCCCGGGGUGGGGGUGCUCUUUGAUCCCUCCCAACAUCACCCAGACCCCUCACGUCUCUGCUGGGCUCCUGCGGCCAGCGGUGCUCACUGGCCAUCCCUGUUCCCCAGGCACUGCCCCAUUGCCCACCACCUAUCCUGUGAGGACAUCUCCACGUUCUGGGCGUCCACCCGGGUCCCCGAGGGGCUACAGGGACCAUUGGGAGCGUGGCUGUCCGGAGAUGCAGGACGGGUUUUGAGGUGGCCGCCCCGUGUCCUCAGCAGCAGUCGUGGCUGUGGACUUUUUGCGUGGAGCUGGUGUGAGCGCCUCGGGUGGCUGUGAUUGGCUGCUGAGCUGCGUAUCUCCAUGAGUUCCUCCCCCAUUGGUGGUUUUCUACUGGUGGGCGGGUUCCUGGCGGGUGGGCCCCUUCUCUAGCCACACUCACCCAUGUUGUCCCCCAGCUUCCAGGAGGUGAUGGGUCAUGGCAAGGGAUGUGGAUGACCGUCUCUGCCAGCCUCCACGGCUGCUUGGGGCACCAGUGGGACUGGUGCAGGACCUCCAGGUCUAGAAUAGUGUGAGCCCAAGGGGGCAGACUGCACAGUGGCACCCCUGCCGCUUCAUGGGGUUUGAGGCCCGCUGGUCCCAUUCUCCCCUCGGAACCCUAGUGGGAUCCCACAAGCCCAGUACAGUCCUGACCCCUCCGGCCCAACCACGGGCUCCCCAGGCCUCUCGGGACACAGUUUCCUUCAUCCCGUGGCCCCCUGCGCAGUCUCGGUCUCGUGGGAAAUGCAGUUUCUGCCGCUUCAGUCGCUGAGCACGGGCAGAUGGGCCCGCCUUCCUACAGCCCGGCCUGCUCCCACCCCUCAGACCCUGAGGUCCCCCCAGCUCCUCCAGGGAUACCAGGUAUGACCACCUGUGAGUCAGAGUCUCAUGUCCGAUCAGGUGUUUGCCCCAUGGUGUCUGGGCUCCUAUAAUCCAUGGCUCAGGGUCCCUAUGGUGUGGGCAGGAGCGGUGCUGCUUGGGGGGGCUCUUGGCCCAGGGGUCUCCCCGUAGCCCAGGGUUCCAUGGCCAGGUGGGAGCAGUGGUGCUGGGAGACUCUCGGCCCAGGGGUCUCCCCGUGGCCCAGGGUCUCUACGGCUGAGCGGGAGCUGUGAUGCUCACGGGCUCUCGGCCCAGGGGUCUCCCCGUGGCCCAGGGUCUCUACGGCUGAGCGGGAACAGUGGUGCUGGGGGGCUCUCGGCCCAGGGGUCUCCCCGUGGCCCAGGGUCUCUACGGCUGAGCGGGAGCUGUGAUGCUCACGGGCUCUCGGCCCAGGGGUCUCCCCAUGGCCCAGGGUCCCUAG